UACGUAGGGCGCAAGCGUUGUCCGGAAUUACUGGGCGUAAAGCGUGCGUAGGUGGUUUUUUAAGUCCGUUGUGAAAGCCCUGGGCUCAACCUGGGAAUGGCAGUGGAUACUGGAAAGCUAGAGUGCGGUAGAGGGUAGUGGAAUUCCCGGUGUAGCAGUGAAAUGCGUAGAUAUCGUAAGGAAGACCAGUGGCGAAGGCGGGUCUCUGGACAGUUCCUGACGCUGAGACGCGAAAGCGUGGGGAGCGAACAGG
rnacentral:rRNA from 1 species